GGGGGGGGCAAGCGUUGUUCGGAAUUACUGGGCGUAAAGGGCUCGUAGGCGGCCAACUAAGUCCGACGUGAAAUCCCCAGGCUCAACCUGGGAACUGCGUCGGAGACUGGAUGGCUUGAAUCCGGGAGAGGGAUGCAGAAUUCCAGGUGUAGCGGUGAAAUGCGUAGAUAUCUGGAGGAAUACCGGUGGCGAAGGCGGCAUCCUGGACCGGCAUUGACGCUGAGGGAGCGAAAGCCAGGGGAGCAAACGGGAUUAGAUACCCCGGUAGUCCUGGCCCUAAACGAUGAAUGCUUGGUGUGACGGGUAUCGAUCCCUGUCGUGCCGAAGCUAACGCAUUAAGCAUUCCGCCUGGGGAGUACGGUCGCAAGGCUGAA
rnacentral:rRNA from 1 species